rnacentral:rRNA from 1 species
UCGGGAAUUUUGGGCGAUGGGCGAAAGCCUGACCCAGCAACGCCGCGUGAAGGAUGAAGUAUUUCGGUAUGUAAACUUCGAAAGAAUAGGAAGAAUAAAUGACGGUACUAUUUAUAAGGUCCGGCUAACUACGUGCCAGCAGCCGCGGUAAUACGUAGGGACCAAGCGUUGUUCGGAUUUACUGGGCGUAAAGGGCGCGUAGGCGGCAAUUCAAGUCAUCUGUGAAAUCUCCGGGCUUAACUCGGAACGGUCAACUGAUACUGUCACACCAGAGUACAGAAGGGGCAAUCGGAAUUCUUGGUGUAGCGGUGAAAUGCGUAGAUAUCAAGAGGAACACCUGAGGCGAAGGCGGGUUGCUGGGCUGAUACUGACGCUGAGGCGCGAAAGCUAGGGUAGCAAACGGGAUUAGAUACCCAAGUAGUCCCUGAGCGGGCUGGCAAGGCGCAU